rnacentral:rRNA from 1 species
UGAACGCUGGCGGUAUGCUUAACACAUGCAAGUCGAACGGAAACGAUACUAGCUUGCUAGUAGGCGUCGAGUGGCGGACGGGUGAGUAACGCGUAGGAAUCUGCCUGAUAGUGGGGGAUAGCCCGAAGAAAUUCGGAUUAAUACCGCAUAAUCUAUUCGUAGUAAAGUGGGGGACUUUCGAGCCUCACGCUAUCAGAUGAGCCUGCGUAAGAUUAGCUUGUUGGUAGGGUAAAAGCCUACCAAGGCGACGAUCUUUAGCUGGUCUGAGAGGAUGAUCAGCCACAUCGGGACUGAGACACGGCCCGAACUCCUACGGGAGGCAGCAGUGGGGAAUAUUGGACAAUGGGGGCAACCCUGAUCCAGCAAUACCGCGUGUGUGAAGAAGGCCUGAGGGUUGUAAAGCACUUUCAAUUGUGAAGAAAAGUUAGCGGUUAAUAACCGUUAGCCUUGACGUUAACUUUAGAAGAAGCACCGGCUAACUCCGUGCCAGCAGCCGCGGUAAUACGGAGGGUGCAAGCGUUAAUCGGAAUUACUGGGCGUAAAGCGUGCGUAGGCGGUUUAUUAAGUCAGAUGUGAAAGCCCCGGGCUUAACCUGGGAACUGCAUUUGAAACUGGUCAACUAGAGUAUGGUAGAGGAAAGUGGAAUUUCUGGUGUAGCGGUGAAAUGCGUAGAUAUCAGAAGGAACAUCAAUGGCGAAGGCAGCUUUCUGGACCAAUACUGACGCUGAGGUACGAAAGCGUGGGUAGCAAACAGGAUUAGAUACCCUGGUAGUCCACGCCGUAAACGAUGAUAACUAGCCGUUGGGGGGAUUUACCCUUUAGUGGCGAAGCUAACGCGUUAAGUUAUCCGCCUGGGGAGUACGGCCGCAAGGUUAAAACUCAAAGGAAUUGACGGGGACCCGCACAAGCGGUGGAGCAUGUGGUUUAAUUCGAUGCAACGCGAAGAACCUUACCUGGUCUUGACAUCCUGCGAACUUUCUAGAAAUAGAUUGGUGCCUUCGGGAACGCAGUGACAGGUGCUGCAUGGCUGUCGUCAGCUCGUGUCGUGAGAUGUUGGGUUAAGUCCCGUAACGAGCGCAACCCCUAUCCUUAUUUGCCAGCACAUCAUGGUGGGAACUAUAAGGAGACUGCCGGUGAUAAACCGGAGGAAGGCGGGGACGACGUCAAGUCAUCAUGGCCCUUACGACCAGGGCUACACACGUGCUACAAUGGGAAGGACAAAGAGCCGCGAAGCCGCGAGGUGUAGCUAAUCUCAUAAACCUUUUCGUAGUCCGGAUUGGAGUCUGCAACUCGACUCCAUGAAGUCGGAAUCGCUAGUAAUCGUAGAUCAGAAUGCUACGGUGAAUACGUUCCCGGGUCUUGUACACACCGCCCGU